GACGAACGCUGGCGGCGUGCCUAAUACAUGCAAGUUGAGCGCUGAAGGUUGGUACUUGUACCAACUGGAUGAGCAGCGAACGGGUGAGUAACGCGUGGGGAAUCUGCCUUUGAGCGGGGGACAACAUUUGGAAACGAAUGCUAAUACCGCAUAAAAACUUUAAACACAAGUUUUAAGUUUGAAAGAUGCAAUUGCAUCACUCAAAGAUGAUCCCGCGUUGUAUUAGCUAGUUGGUGAGGUAAAGGCUCACCAAGGCGAUGAUACAUAGCCGACCUGAGAGGGGGAUCGGCCACAUUGGGACUGGGACACGGCCCAAACUCCUACGGGAGGCAGCAGUAGGGAAUCUUCGGCAAUGGACGAAAGUCUGACCGAGCAACGCCGCGUGAGUGAAGAAGGUUUUCGGAUCGGAAAACUCUGUUGGUAGAGAAGAACGUUGGUGAGAGUGGAAAGCUCAUCAAGUGACGGUAACUACCCAGAAAGGGACGGCUAACUACGUG
rnacentral:rRNA from 1 species